AUUGAACGCUGGCGGCAGGCCUAACACAUGCAAGUCGAGCGAGCGGCGGACGGGUGAGUAAUGUCUGGGAAACUGCCUGAUGGAGGGGGAUAACUACUGGAAACGGUAGCUAAUACCGCAUACCAUCAGAUGUGCCCAGAUGGGCUUAGCUAGUAGGUGGGGUAACGGCUCACCUAGGCGACGAUGCCUAGCUGGUCUGAGAGGAUGACCCGCCACACGGGAACGGAGACUGUGUCCAACCUCCUGGGGGGGACAGCGGGGGGGAAUAGUGCAAAAGGGGCGAAAGCCUGAUGCAGCCAGGCCGCGUGUAUGAAGAGGGCCUUCGGGUUGAAGAGUACUUUCUGCGGGGAGGCGUAACCCGCAGAAGAGGCACCGGCAAACUCCGUGCCAGCAGCCGCGGUAAUU
rnacentral:rRNA from 1 species